rnacentral:rRNA from 1 species
UGUAAGCGUAUACCAAAGUUGUUGCAGUUAAAACGCUCGUAGUCGGAAUUUGGCAGUUCCGGAUGUGUGCACGUCGUGUGCGCACUUCGCGGGGAUUGCUUUUGUGGUCUUGCGUAGGAUGAGGCACUUUUAUUAGUGAACGUCCUCACGCAACCACUUUUUACUGCGAGAAAAUCAGAGUGCUCAAAGCAGGCAUUUGCCGUGAAUGUAUUAGCAUGGAAUAAUAGAAUAGGACUUGGUUCUAUUUUGUUGGUUUGUUGGGACUGAGUAAUGAUUAAGAGGGACAGUUGGGGGCAUUUGUAUUUCGGUGCUAGAGGUGAAAUUCUUAGAUUACCGAAAGACAAACUGCUGCGAAAGCGUCUGCCAAGGAUGUUUUCAUUGA